rnacentral:rRNA from 1 species
CGUGUAGGCGGGUGCGCAAGUCCGAUGUGAAAUCCACCGGCUCACCCGGUGAAGUGCAUUGGAUACUGCGUGUCUUGAGUGUGGGAGAGGAGAGUGGAACUCUUGGUGGAGCGGUGAAAUGCGUAGAUAUCAAGAGGAACGCCGGUGGCGAAAGCGGCUCUCUGGCCCAUUACUGACGCUGAGGCGCGAAAGCUAGGGGAGCAAACG